GGGGGGACAUGAAUGAAAGCAGACAACUUUGGCAGGUAGGAGGUGGGGGACGCUUUUUAAUGUACCAGAGACCUAGGAAGUGAUAGACUCUCGGGUCUCAAAGGGAGGGUUAGAUAAAAUAACAUACAGGAGACAGAAAGAAAUGUAGAGUCCCCUCUAGUAAAAGAUAGAACAUCAAGUGGAGGGAGAGAGUUGCUAUUCCAUAGUCUAAAACUCUGACCCAGAAUUAUUCCUGUAUAAAGAAAUGCAGGGAUAAAAAUGGAGAAUGACUGAGGGAAAGAAGGUCCUGUGACAGACCCAAAUUUGGAUCCAGCUCAAGGGGAGGCCCAAGGCCUGACACUAUUACUGAUACUUUGGUUUUCUUACAAACAGGAGCCUAGCAUGUCUGCCUUCAGAAAGCCCCAAAAAAGCCGCUGAAAGAGUCAGAUGAAUAUAUUUCCACCCAAGCAAUGGACAGAAGAUAGUGACCCCAGUGGUUGACUGUGCCAAAGCUGGAAGAAGCUGAUGAGAAGGGCAACCUUAUAGGAAGACAAGCAGUUUCAACUUACUUUGAUCCCUGUGGUCUCUCAGACAUUGUGCCACCAAUUAGGAAGCAUACCAGAGUCUUGCUGUCCUAUUCACUGAGUUCUCCAACUCAUCCUUGAAACCACGCCUCCUCUGAGCUUCAUGAGAAACUCACAGUACAGAGGCAGAGCACCACAUUCAGCUGAGAUCCAAGAGUCUUGAGGAGAGAAGUUUAAUGAAGAUCCAUUUAACAUCUACAGAUGCACAGUCUCUCACUAUCUCUACACAGGGCACUUGAGAAUGCCUUAGAUAAUUCUUGUGAAAGAGGAGACAGCCUUGUUGAGAACUGAGCACUGAAUUGAAUUAUGGGUAGAACAGUAUGUUGGAAACUAACAUGACUAUCCUCCAGAAGCCCCCAAAAGCAGCUGAAAGUGUCAGAUGAUGAUAUUUCCAGCCAAGCAAUGGACAGAAGAUAGUGACCCCAGUGGUUGAAUUUUCAAAAGCUGGAAAAAGCUUAUGAAGAAGGCAACCCUAUAGGAAGACCAGCAGUCUCAACUAUCCUGGACACAUGAGAUCUCUCAGACACUGUGCCACCAACCAGGCUGUAUAUACCAGCUGAUAUGAGGUUCCCAAGACAUAUACAGCAAGAAUUCCUGGUCUGCACUAAGUAUGAGAAGAUGCACCUAACCCACAAGAGAUUUGAGACUCCAGGGAGUAGGGACGGUAGGGCUAGGUUUAGGGUGUGAGGGCAACCUCCAGGAGGAGUUAUCAGAUGAGAAACACUAAAAGGACAGAAUGAGAGGGGGAUAAAUCCUGAACUGUAAAAAAAAAAGAAUAAUUAAAAAGAAAUGAUGACACUAUAGACAGUUAAUAAAAUUAUGAAAUUCGCCCUAACAUUUUGUAGUACUGUUAAGUCUAGUGUUUACAUGAACAUUCCAGUGUAAUAAAAAGUUAAAUAAAUAUAACCCUGAAUGAUAUGAGACUCUCUCUAAUGGAGCAGUUCCAAUCA
rnacentral:lncRNA from 1 species